GAAACCCUUACAGAAAAAGAACAUUUUAAUAAUAACAGAGGCUUCUUCUCCAUGGACUUAAACAAUAAUAUUCAAGGUCAGAGCCUGGUUAAAGUUUUCUUCUGGUGGGUUUUUGGUGAAGGACACAAGAAGCACCUGUAAUGCCUCAUGUCCAAGAACUUGAUGUCACAAAUACAAGACACUAUGGGGGGACACCAUUUUAUCUUUGAAAACUGCUCCUCGUGCUCCAGGGUGUGGACACGCUGUGGUUGCCAAGCAGCAAUCAAUAUCCACCAAUAUCCACUUCCCUGAGCAUUCCAGACUCAGACAACCAUCAAAUCCAUGGUUUCAAAGCACGUUGGAUGAAUUUUACCCAGUACAAACAAGAGCUUCUGGUAUUGCAUACUGCCAAAAAUAUCUCUCCAAAGGAAACCAAUUUGGGAUUGCUACUGGAGUCAGGCAGAGAAGAAAGGAGGGAGCUGGCACCUAUGAAUUUGUCACCCAAAUUUCUCAAGGAAAACUGCCUCUUGAUUCCCAAGAGAGGAACAAACAGCUCAGAGUCUCUAGCCAAAGGCCAGAUGCUGAUGCAAAUCCUUGGAUAAUGCAGUUCAUAGCAGGAUCAUCUGGCAGAAGUGCCUUCCAAGGGUACAGAUGCACCACCAGCAUGCUCCCAAAACCAACCCCAGCCCACAAGCAACCUGAUACUGGCCUUACAGCCCCUGCAGUGGCUUAUCCUGGCAUUGCUGAGCAGGCUGGGGUAAGCUGUUUCCACACCUCCUUGCUGUGCUGAAGCAGCAAAAUUGGAACAGUUCUCCAGCUCCAUCCUUGCUCAUCUGAGCUGUUUGUGACCAGAGGAAUUUUAAUCCUCCCCAGAGGAGCAGGCAAUGGGUGUCUCAGUCUGUCUCUUUGCCACCUGCACAGUGGCAGUGCUGGCACCAAGCCUGAUACAAGACCCCAAAAGAGGUUUACUGCACCUGCACAAUUGUCCACCACAGAGAGUUUCCCAGGCUUUCCCCAAAAUUUCAAGAAG